AUGCGCCUAAAGGAACCCUUGAUGCACAUAUCGACACUUAAGGAUUUGAGAAAAAGAUUGGUAAAAGAAGGAGCGUUUUCAUCAUGGGAAAACAAAUACCACCAAGUUAGAACAUGUCUGGAGAUUGGGCAGGACUGCAUACAAUACGACCCAGAUAAAAGGCCCACUUUGUUGGAGAUUAUCCAGCGGCUUAAUGAAGCGGAAGAUAUGAACUAUUCUGCAGAACUUUGGCAGUCAGGAGAUGAGGAAUCCGACUUAUCGGAUACAGAAGCUUUGGAGACAGAGACAACAGCCGAGUUCCUUCCAAGUGACGAGGAACCCGCCUCUGCAGACACGACGGGAGAAACAAGCACAGAGGAGCCUGAUAAAGCAGACCUAGUAAGUAAGUUGCCAGUGUCGGUGGACCUGUCAGACCUAACAGUCCUGGAGGAAAUCACAGAUGAUUUUUCACACGAAAGAAUAGUUGGGAAGGAUGGCACGUUCAGAGGUUCUCAUAAGGCAUUUGUUUAUAAGGGCGACGUUCCACGGCGAGAAAUGGUAGCUGUGAAGAGGUUAAUUGGAGUAGCAAUUCCAGUUGAAAAGUUUAAGAGGGAGGCAGAGCAGUUCAUGAGUUUGGAUCACAAAAAUAUAGUAAAGGUGGCCGGCUACUGCCACGACCAAUCUAGAGGACAUAAGCUGGUACGGUUCAGAGGAGAUGCACCACCACAAGCCAUUAAAGGUCCUGAACAAUUACUCUCCUAUGAAUAUAUGCACAACGGAAGUCUUCGCAACUAUCUUAUUGGUCAAGGAUCUCGUGAAAUUGAUUGGCAAAAGCGCUAUAAAUUGAUCAAAGGGAUUUGCGCAGGCUUACAUUACCUCCACAAGGGUCGUGCAAAUUGUCCAAUUGUUCAUUUGAAUUUAAGCCCGUCAAAUGUAUUGUUGGACGAGAACUACAUACCACGCAUCACAGGGUUCGAUUUUUCCAAGCUCAUUGGUGAAAAGAACACCAAAUCCGUGGUACUUAAGCUGAAUGGACCCAUAGCUUACCUGCCACCGGAUUUCCUGCACUCCAAGGGUCCUGACCUCAAAUAUCUAGCUACGGUAGACAUAUACAGCUUGGGUCUUAUCAUUCUAGAGAUCGUAACGCAGCAAGAGAUCAAAGGCAACCAUGGAGUGCUUAUUAAGAGCAUAGAGGAAAACUGGAGGGAAGAGUCACAAAUAACACGGUUGUAUACCUCACUAGAAGCUGACGAACUGCAGCAAGUAAAAAUGUGCAUUGAUAUUGGCCUAUACUGCGUCCAGUCAAAGCCUGAAAAGAGACCUACGGCUGAGGACAUCAUGCUCUGGCUUGAUAAAGGGAUCAAACCAGUCCCAACCCCAAGAGCAGGUGGAGGAGUGUCAAGACCUACAGUCUCAGUUCCAAGGGCAGGUCCAGGAGUGCCAAGACCUCCUGUCCCCACUAAUAUCACCCAUGCAGAUGACCGCAUCCAAGGAAACGAGAAGCCGGCGGGAUUCAUAAAACGAAUCUUCAGAAGAAAGUAG
rnacentral:rRNA from 1 species